AACGAACGCUGGCGGCAUGCCUAACACAUGCAAGUCGAACGAGACCUUCGGGUCUAGUGGCGCACGGGUGCGUAACGCGUGGGAACCUGCCCUUAGGUUCGGAAUAACUCCCCGAAAGGGGUGCUAAUACCGGAUAAUGUCUUCGGACCAAAGAUUUAUCGCCUUUGGAUGGGCCCGCGUUGGAUUAGCUAGUUGGUAGGGUAAAAGCCUACCAAGGCGACGAUCCAUAGCUGGCCUGAGAGGAUGAUCAGCCACACUGGGACUGAGACACGGCCCAGACUCCUACGGGAGGCAGCAGUGGGGAAUAUUGGACAAUGGGCGAAAGCCUGAUCCAGCAAUGCCGCGUGAGUGAUGAAGGCCUUAGGGUUGUAAAGCUCUUUUACCUGGGAUGAUAAUGACAGUACCGGGAGAAUAAGCUCCGGCUAACUCCGUG
rnacentral:rRNA from 1 species